GAGUGAAAAUGAUGCAUGACACCUCAGAGAUGCAGCACUGCAAACUCUGUGCCAGGCUGCUGUCCUAUUCCUCUUCCCUUCUGGCAGGAAGCAAGGAGGCCAUAUGCUGAGGUGCAGAGCCACAGAAUGGGAGCAGCUGGGAGUGUAGAGUCACUUCCUGGAGGACAGCUGCACCGGAUCACUGCCCAGAAUACAAAAAGAAAAGAAAUCUGGAACUCACCCUAGGCAACCUCUGUUCCUCUGCCCUCACUUCCCAGAGACAUUUCGUAGGUGUUGCCACCCUACUAGCCCUCCCCCCUAACCCUGCUCUCCAGAACCACCUCUCAUGGGCAGGACCUCACUGUGUUUUCUCCAAGGUCUUCCACCAUUUCCUGACUCAUCUCCCAGCCCCCAAGGUCACUGCAUACAUCCCACUCUCUAGUUUGCUAUCAUGACGAUCUCAAAAAAUAUCACUCUGACUAUAUCUUUGUCGUUUUAUGAAUUUGUAAUAACCUCCUGUCUCGGUGAUUCCUUGGUGAUAGGCAUCAGGCACAGAUUCUGCUAUAUUUAAGUAAAAAAUAAAUAAAUACAACAGGAAUUCAUGAAUUUAGUAUUUGUAGA
rnacentral:lncRNA from 1 species